rnacentral:rRNA from 1 species
CCUACGGGGUGCAGCAGUGGGGAAUAUUGGACAAUGGGCGAAAGCCUGAUCCAGCCAUGCCGCGUGUGUGAAGAAGGCCUUCGGGUUGUAAAGCACUUUCAGUGGGGAAGAAAGCCUUGGGGCUAAUACCCUCGAGGAAGGACAUCACCCACAGAAGAAGCACCGGCUAACUCCGUGCCAGCAGCCGCGGUAAUACGGAGGGUGCGAGCGUUAAUCGGAAUUACUGGGCGUAAAGCGCGCGUAGGCGGUCUGAUAAGCCGGUUGUGAAAGCCCCGGGCUCAACCUGGGAACGGCAUCCGGAACUGUCAGGCUAGAGUGCAGGAGAGGAAGGUAGAAUUCCCGGUGUAGCGGUGAAAUGCGUAGAGAUCGGGAGGAAUACCAGUGGCGAAGGCGGCCUUCUGGACUGACACUGACGCUGAGGUGCGAAAGCGUGGGUAGCAAACAGGAUUAGAUACCCUAUAGUC